rnacentral:rRNA from 1 species
ACUCAAAUGAAUUGACGGGGGCCCGCACAAGCGGUGGAGUAUGUGGUUUAAUUCGACGCAACGCGAAGAACCUUACCUGGGUUUGAAAUGCAAGGAAAAGUGGUAGAGAUAUCAUGUUCCCGCAAGGGAGCCUUGUGCAGGUGCUGCAUGGCUGUCGUCAGCUCGUGUCGUGAGAUGUUGGGUUAAGUCCCGCAACGAGCGCAACCCUUAUCCUUAGUUGCCAUCAUUAAGUUGGGUACUUUAAGGAGACUGCCGGUGAUAAACCGGAGGAAGGCGGGGAUGACGUCAAGUCCUCAUGGCCCUUAUGUCCAGGGCUACACACGUACUACAAUGGCCAAGACAAAGCGAAGCAAAGCAGCGAUGUGGAGCCAAUCGCAAAAACAUGGUCUCAGUUCGGAUUGUAGUCUGCAACUCGACUACAUGAAGUUGGAAUCGCUAGUAAUCGCGGAUCAGCAAGCCGCGGUGAAUACGUUCCCGGGCCUUGCACACACCGCCCGU